AACGAACGCUGGCGGCAGGCCUAACACAUGCAAGUCGAACGCUCCGCAAGGGGAGUGGCGCACGGGUGAGUAACACGUGGGAACCUACCUUCUGGUACGGAACAACCAAGGGAAACUUUGGCUAAGACCGUAUACGACCUCCGGGUGAAAGAUUGAUCGCCGGAAGAGGGGCCCGCGUCCGAUUAGGUAGUUGGUGAGGUAACGGCUCACCAAGCCUUCGAUCGGUAGCUGGUCUGAGAGGAUGGCCAGCCACACUGGGACUGAGACACGGCCCAGACUCCUACGGGAGGCAGCAGUGGGGAAUAUUGGACAAUGGGCGCAAGCCUGAUCCAGCCAUGCCGCGUGAGUGAUGAAGGCCUUCGGUUG
rnacentral:rRNA from 1 species